ACGUAGGUGGCGAGCGUUACUCGGAAUUAAUAGGCGUAAAGCGCGUGGAGGCGGGAGGGUAAGUCUGCUGUUAAAUCUAAGGGCCCAACCCUUAAAUGCCGGCGGAUAGUGGCCUUCUUGAAUUUGGUAGAGGUAACUGGAAUUCCAGGUGUAGAGGUGAAUGGCGUAGAUAUCUGGAAGAACGCCAAAGGCGAGGGCAGGUUACUGGGCGACAAUGGUCGCUGAGACGAGUAAGCUAGGGGAGCAAAAAG
rnacentral:rRNA from 1 species